rnacentral:rRNA from 1 species
GACAGAGGGGGCAAGCGUUGCUCGGAAUUACUGGGCGUAAAGGGCGCGUAGGCGGGAUGGCAAGUCGGUCGUGAAAUCCUUCGGCUCAACCGAAGAACGUCGAUCGAUACUGCUGUUCUUGAGGGUUGCAGAGGAGACUGGAAUUCCCGGUGUAGCAGUGAAAUGUGUAGAGAUCGGGAGGAACACCGGUGGCGAAGGCGGGUCUCUGGGCAAUUCCUGACGCUGAGGCGCGAAAGCGUGGGGAGCAAACGGG